AGUGAACGCUGGCGGUAGGCCUAACACAUGCAAGUCGAACGGCAGCACAGUAAGAGCUUGCUCUUACGGGUGGCGAGUGGCGGACGGGUGAGGAAUACAUCGGAAUCUACUUUUUCGUGGGGGAUAACGUAGGGAAACUUACGCUAAUACCGCAUACGACCUACGGGUGAAAGCAGGGGGUCUUCGGACCUUGCGCGAUUGAAUGAGCCGAUGUCGGAUUAGCUAGUUGGCGGGGUAAAGGCCCACCAAGGCGACGAUCCGUAGCUGGUCUGAGAGGAUGAUCAGCCACACUGGAACUGAGACACGGUCCAGGCUCCUACGGGAGGCAGCAGUGGGGAAUAUUGGACAAUGGGCGCAAGCCUGAUCCAGCCAUACCGCGUGGGUGAAGAAGGCCUUCGGGUUGUAAAGCCCUUUUGUUGGGAAAGAAAAGCAGCAGGUUAAUACCCCGCUGUUCUGACGGUACCCAAAGAAUAAGCACCGGCUAACUUCGUG
rnacentral:rRNA from 1 species